GGAAGGCCUUUGGGUUGUAAACCUCUUUUCUCAGGGAAGAAGAUCUGACGGUACCUGAGGAAUAAGCAUCGGCUAACUCCGUGCCAGCAGCCGCGGUAAUACGGAGGAUGCAAGCGUUAUCCGGAAUUAUUGGGCGUAAAGCGUCCGCAGGUGGUCUUUCAAGUCUGCUGUCAAAGACCAGAGCUUAACUCUGGGCAGGCGGUGGAAACUGAGAGACUAGAGUUCGGUAGGGGUAGCGGGAAUUCCCAGUGCAGCGGUGAAAUGCGUAGAUAUUGGGAAGAACAUCCCGUGUAGAAGGC
rnacentral:rRNA from 1 species